rnacentral:rRNA from 1 species
GACGAACGCUGGCGGCGUGCUUAACACAUGCAAGUCGAACGGAAAGGCCCUGCUUUUGUGGGGUGCUCGAGUGGCGAACGGGUGAGUAACACGUGAGUAACCUGCCCUUGACUUUGGGAUAACUUCAGGAAACUGGGGCUAAUACCGGAUAGGAGCUCCUGCUGCAUGGUGGGGGUUGGAAAGUUUCGGCGGUUGGGGAUGGACUCGCGGCUUAUCAGCUUGUUGGUGGGGUAGUGGCUUACCAAGGCUUUGACGGGUAGCCGGCCUGAGAGGGUGACCGGCCACAUUGGGACUGAGAUACGGCCCAGACGCCUACGGGAGGCAGCAGUGGGGAAUAUUGCACAAUGGGCGGAAGCCUGAUGCAGCAACGCCGCGUGCGGGAUGACGGCCUUCGGGUGGUAAACCGCUUUCGCCUGUGACGAAGCGUGAGGGACGGGAAUGGGUAAAGAAGCACCGGCUAACUACGU